ensembl:miRNA aca-mir-5394 aca-mir-5394
CCAAGCUGACCAUGAACCUCUGUCUAAGCUCAUGGCCUUUGUGAUAUUAACUUGGACAGAGCUAAAUGGCCAGCUAGG